rnacentral:rRNA from 1 species
AUUGAACGCUGGCGGCAUGCCUUACACAUGCAAGUCGAACGGCAGCACGGGGCAACCUGGUGGCGAGUGGCGAACGGGUGAGUAAUGUAUCGGAACGUGCCAUUGAGUGGGGGAUAACGUAGCGAAAGUUACGCUAAUACCGCAUAUACCCUGAGGGGGAAAGCAGGGGAUCGCAAGACCUUGUGCUCUUUGAGCGGCCGAUAUCAGAUUAGCUAGUCGGUGAGGUAAAGGCUCACCAAGGCGACGAUCUGUAGCGGGUCUGAGAGGAUGAUCCGCCACACUGGGACGGGGACACGGCCCAGACUCCUACGGGAGGCAGCAGUGGGGAAGUUUGGACAAUGGGCGCAAGCCUGAUCCAGCCAUGCCGCGUGAGUGAAGAAGGCCUUCGGGUUGUAAAGCUCUUUCGGCCGGGAAGAAAUCGUACAGGUUAAUACCCUGUGUGGAUGACGGUACCGGAAUAAGAAGCACCGGCUAACUACGUGCCAGCAGCCGCCGUAAGAC